GCCUUCAUGAAGUCGGAAUUGCUAGUAAUGGCAGAUCAGAAUGCUGCGGUGAAUACGUUCCCGGGUCUUGUACACACCGCCCGUCACACCAUGGGAGUCGGAAAUGCCCGAAGUCAGUGGCCCAACCGCAAGGAGGGAGCUGCCGAAGGCAGGUCCGGUGACUGGGGUGAAGUCGUAACAAGGUAGC
rnacentral:rRNA from 1 species